rnacentral:rRNA from 1 species
GAUGAACGCUGGCGGCGUGCCUAAUACAUGCAAGUCGAGCGAACGGACGAGAAGCUUGCUUCUCUGAUGUUAGCGGCGGACGGGUGAGUAACACGUGGAUAACCUACCUAUAAGACUGGGAUAACUUCGGGAAACCGUAGCUAAUACCGGAUAAUAUUUUGAACCGCAUGGUUCAAAAGUGAAAGACGGUCUUGCUGUCACUUAUAGAUGGAUCCGCGCUGCAUUAGCUAGUUGGUAAGGUAACGGCUUACCAAGGCAACGAUGCAUAGCCGACCUGAGAGGGUGAUCGGCCACACUGGAACUGAGACACGGUCCAGACUCCUACGGGAGGCAGCAGUAGGGAAUCUUCCGCAAUGGGCGAAAGCCUGACGGAGCAACGCCGCGUGAGUGAUGAAGGUCUUCGGAUCGUAAAACUCUGUUAUUAGGGAAGAACAUAUGUGUAAGUAACUGUGCACAUCUUGACGGUACCUAAUCAGAAAGCCACGGCUAACUACGUGCCAGCAGCCGCGGUAAUACGUAGGUGGCAAGCGUUAUCCGGAAUUAUUGGGCGUAAAGCGCGCGUAGGCGGUUUUUUAGUCUGAUGUGAAAGCCCACGGCUCAACCGUGGAGGGUCAUUGGAAACUGGAAAACUUGAGUGCAGAAGAGGAAAGUGGAAUUCCAUGUGUAGCGGUGAAAUGCGCAGAGAUAUGGAGGAACACCAGUGGCGAAGGCGACUUUCUGGUCUGUAACUGACGCUGAUGUGCGAAAGCGUGGGGAUCAAACAGGAUUAGAUACCCUGGUAGUCCACGCCGUAAACGAUGAGUGCUAAGUGUUAGGGGGUUUCCGCCCCUUAGUGCUGCAGCUAACGCAUUAAGCACUCCGCCUGGGGAGUACGACCGCAAGGUUGAAACUCAAAGGAAUUGACGGGGACCCGCACAAGCGGUGGAGCAUGUGGUUUAAUUCGAAGCAACGCGAAGAACCUUACCAAAUCUUGACAUCCUUUGACAACUCUAGAGAUAGAGCCUUCCCCUUCGGGGGACAAAGUGACAGGUGGUGCAUGGUUGUCGUCAGCUCGUGUCGUGAGAUGUUGGGUUAAGUCCCGCAACGAGCGCAACCCUUAAGCUUAGUUGCCAUCAUUAAGUUGGGCACUCUAAGUUGACUGCCGGUGACAAACCGGAGGAAGGUGGGGAUGACGUCAAAUCAUCAUGCCCCUUAUGAUUUGGGCUACACACGUGCUACAAUGGACAAUACAAAGGGCAGCGAAACCGCGAGGUCAAGCAAAUCCCAUAAAGUUGUUCUCAGUUCGGAUUGUAGUCUGCAACUCGACUACAUGAAGCUGGAAUCGCUAGUAAUCGUAGAUCAGCAUGCCACGGUGAAUACGUUCCCGGGUCU